rnacentral:rRNA from 1 species
AAACCAGCACCUCAAGUGGUCAGGAUGAUUAUUGGGCCUAAAGCAUCCGUAGCCGGCUCUGUAAGUUUUCGGUUAAAUCUGUACGCUUAACGUACAGGCUGCUGGGAAUACUGCAGAGCUAGGGAGUGGGAGAGGUAGACGGUACUCGGGAGGAAGUGGUAAAAUGCUUUGAUCCCUCGAUGACCACCUGUGGCGAAGGCGGUCUACCAGAACACGUCCGACGGUGAGGGAUGAAAGCUGGGGGAGCAAACCGGAUUAGAAACCCGAGUAGUCC